AACGGUCGAUGGCGAUGUAAAUAGUGUAAACAACGCGACGGUCGGGACAACCCAAGUCUUCGCUUUGUGAACGUUGUUGUCAAUCUCAAGUCGGGGCAGCUGAUCAAUGUUUUCCUGAAACCAAACAAAAAACAGCCGUUUAAUAGGAAGCGAGAGGGAGAGAAAGGAAGAAGACGAUAUUUUUAGAGGAAUGUCGGCUUUUUUCGGGAGGGGAAAUUCAAAGCCGCCACAUCGUCAAGGCUGAGCGAAUGAAAUAUAAAAGCCGCUCGGCACGCGGCUACCGACCUCGGAAUCUCUUAAGUUUGGUUUUAUACUAUCGUGCCGAAACAUUCUUCCUCUCGGACGGAUACUAUAAGAACAACGAUGAACGUCGUCACGUCGCUUUGCAAUGCCACGGAAUGGAAAAUUAACGCUGGCCGUCGCGUUCCUUGUGAAUACGCCUCGCCGUGUAAAACUCAAUUCAUACUAUUCGCACGGCGGAAGAUGGAUCGGCAAUACAAUAAAUCGUCGGACGAUGAAGCGGAGCUUCAUUAAUACUUUCGAGCGCCCGUAUACCGGUCCAGUGAGUUAUCCGAAGAAUUCAAUCAGUUAUUGCUGAAAGGAGUGCUGCUUACAAGAAGAAAAAAGUAAUGCGAAUAGAACGCGCAGACGAUCACUUCACGGUAGUUAACUGAAAUUUAACGAACGACUCACGAUCGUGUUUGCGUUGUCCUACGUUCGUCAUGAGCGCUUCCGAUCGGCGAUUCUCUUCCCGACAAUGUGGAUCGUCGAUUAAGAUAAAACACCCAAUUAUUGUGACAUGACUCCUUUAUAGUCAUUGAUACUCUAGAAAAACCUAGUUUUUUCUCACGACUCACGGCAUUUGUCCAUAGUCUUACUAUGAAGUUAAUUAAAAGAUACUUUUUUAAAACCAUGGAGCGCAAACAAGAAGUUUAACUGCAAUACUGGUCGUAAAAAAAUUAAGAGUUUUUGUAGAGUGUCAAUGACUAGGGAGAACGUCAAUUAUUGGGUAUUUUAUUUUAUCCUAAUCGUGUAAAUGAAGACGAUAUUCGACGCGACUCCGCCGACUUCUAUGCGGAUACCAUGAACUGAGCUUAACGCUGUGUGUGCGCGCACACACGCAGCAGGCAAGACCGAAUGAGAGACGAGGAGUGGAACUAGGUGGAAACCGGUAGUGUGCAUUUUCAAAUUACACAGCGUCAGGAGUGCGCAUCUUAAACGCCGAAUGUAAAUUUACACACCGGCCUCUGUCCUUCCACCUGCCUGAUCAGAUACGCUACGCGAGUGCGCGACUCCGAACUUUCGUGCAAUGUAAACAAUCUCACGGGCGUCAACAACCGAUAAUUCGACCCGCGACAUAUAUCUGACGGUGUCUCGCGUAGAAAAUGCUCGUGCCACGCCAUUGAAAAAGAAAGAAAAGAUCGCGAGAACAGUUGAGCGAACAGAACACAUAACAGACCACAGACAAUAGCCUCAACCAUCAGGUUACGUCUUUCUAAAGCGAAUAAUAUAUCUUAACAGGAAGCUUUAAAAUGGAGUCUUCUUUUGUGUGUAUUAUUGACUAGAGACAUAAUUGUCUUAAAAGCCAAUCUUUGGUCUCUAAAAUGAAGUAACUUCAUGUAUUAAAGCCAUGUAUUAAGGCCGGUCUGCGUGCACUCGUUUAGAGUACUCGUUUAGAAUACUCAAAGAGUAUUGGUUAUUGAAUAAUGCUCAAACGACAGGUUUUCCUAUUGGACAUCAAAUACAUUUGGAAAUUUGUCAGAUAAUGUUCGAAUCGUGUUCUGCAAACGUGUGAACGUGUAUAAAAGAUAUCAUAGAGUUUUCCGUCGCUUCGCGCCGCGUAAUCUAUGCAAUUUCAACGAUACAAGAUUCGAGUCACACUUUGGAAGUGAAUUGCGCGACGCGUAUGCGUAUGCGCGCGCGCGUUCGCGGCAC